rnacentral:lncRNA from 1 species
ACUAUACAGAAAAUCAGUAUUCUAGCCGUAUAUGAGUUACUUAGGAGUGUAGAGAGGAGAGAUUAAACGAACAAACAAACAAAAAACCCACACAGGUCAAGAAAACAGGGCCCAACAUCAGACACUGACAGCCUCCCGACCUGCAGUGCAAAGUGAUUCCAAGACCCUCGUCAUUCCCUGUCUCAGGAAAGAUGGUACCCACGCCAAGCUCAGCCAAGAACGGCUUCCACACCGGCUUAAUUUUCUGAACCUGUUCUUGUGGUGCUGAUAGGGAGGGUGGUCCGUAAGAGAGGAGAGCCCACUGAUCAAGUUGCUGUUUGUUUAUUGAUUGAUUUUUUUUUUUUAUUGGUCCCUGGCCUAGGAUGAGCUAAGAAAUCUUUUGCGUACCCUGACCUGACUUCAUUCAUCCUUCCACACUUCUACACCCUUUUCCUUCCUGCGCGGGGUCCUGAGCAAGUCUAAAUCAAGCAGUGCUUAGAGCCUCCCACAAUGGGCCUUCAACCAUAUUUGGAAGAAAAGAAGGACUCCAGAGAGGAAAUGGUUACCUGUGCUUACAGGCUGGCUGCACCUCAAGCGCUGACUCAGCAGGAGGGAGCUCUGGGUACCCCUGUCCCGAAGGCCCCUGAGCAAGGAUGUCAGAAAGAGACUAAAACGGGGGGGGGGGGGGGGCUGUCUCCGAGGGCCCUGGAGCAGGGUAGGAACCUACAUGGGAUUCACUACCUGCAUUUGAAAGAAUAUUCGCAAUUGUGGGUGUUACCAUUCACAGUAGUAUACUUUGAAGUUGUCCAUCGAAUCUGUAGGCAUACUCAAUUGGAAAAUAAAUAAAACCUAAAAGAUCAUAGGUGGCCAUGAGGGACUCCAGGGAACAUUCUCUGGGAUGGAGAGGCCUCUAGGGUCAAGCUAUUCAGUAUGGAUACAUCCUCAGAUCCAGGACCUCCACCCUCUGGUGCAGUAUUUCCAGGAUAUUAGUGGGGGACUCUGGACCAUUCAAGCCUUGGAACAAGUCUAGCCCAACGACUGGCUAACUUUGCUGCUGACAGAAGCCUGACCCAGCCCUCACCUCGUAGACCUUACAGGAAUAUGUUCUCAGCUCACUACUCCACAUUUCUGGCUCUGUGACCUCACCAAACACCUGCCUAUCUCAGAGCAUUGCAUCUAUUGGUGUCGAUUUCUGCCUCUCUCUUACUAGUCUCUUGCACAACCCAUGAACUGGAUGAAAGCAAGAACGGGAUCUUUUGGGUUAUGUGGGGGACAUCAGGACUUAACUGUGGUCAUGCAGCUGGCACAGCCUGCUCGCCAGCUCCUAUUCCCUUGCCCACCUGUUCCUUGACCUUGGACACCCAACCCCUUUUUCUUGGCUUCAGUAUUGUCCUCUCUAAGAGCAGAGAUUAGGAUUAAUAAAUAUAUGACAUGCUUGUCACAGGAACUAAUG